rnacentral:lncRNA from 1 species
GUACUUACAACCCUGGAUGGAAGAACCAUCCAAAUUUCAGGUGGAAGAAUGACCAACCUCAACAAGUAUAUAACCCAACUCCUCCACCUCCGCAACCUCAUUAUGCACACACACCCCCUCAAAAAUCCAGUCUCGAAGAAACUUUGCAAUCUUUCAUGCAAUGUCAAGCCAAAAUCAAUAAUGAAAUAAGAAAUCAACUGACAACGCUGACCACUGCUUUAAGUGCUCAAGAGAAGGGUAAGCUACUAGCUCAACCACAACCUAACCCUCAAGUCUA